rnacentral:rRNA from 1 species
GACGAACGCUGGCGGCGUGCUUAACACAUGCAAGUCGAACGGAAAGGCCCUGCUUUUGUGGGGUGCUCGAGUGGCGAACGGGUGAGUAACACGUGAGUAACCUGCCCUUGACUUUGGGAUAACUUCAGGAAACUAGGGCUAAUACCGGAUAGGAGCUCCUGCUGCAUGGUGGGGGUUGGAAAGUUUCGGCGGUUGGGGAUGGACUCGCGGCUUAUCAGCUUGUUGGUGGGGUAGUGGCUUACCAAGGCUUUGACGGGUAGCCGGCCUGAGAGGGUGACCGGCCACAUUGGGACUGAGAUACGGCCCAGACUCCUACGGGAGGCAGCAGUGGGGAAUAUUGCACAAUGGGCGGAAGCCUGAUGCAGCAACGCCGCGUGCGGGAUGACGGCCUUCGGGUGGUAAACCGCUUUCGCCUGUGACGAAGCGUGAGUGACGGUAAUGGGUAAAGAAGCACCGGCUAACUACGU